UUUCACACCAGAUGCUCCCUUUUGUGAAUUCUGUAAAAAGGGAUAUCCUGUGUGAAAGG
ensembl:miRNA mdo-mir-7370i mdo-mir-7370i